rnacentral:rRNA from 1 species
CCUACGGGGUGCUGCAGUGGGGGAUAUUGCACAAUGGGGGAAACCCUGAUGCAGCGACGCCGCGUGUGGGAAGACGGUCCUCUGGAUUGUAAACCACUGUCCCCAGGGACGAAGAUGACGGUACCUGGGGAGGAAGCUCCGGCUAACUACGUGCCAGCAGCCGCGGUAAUACGUAGGGAGCGAGCGUUAUCCGGAUUUAUUGGGUUUAAAGGGUGUGUAGGCGGACAGUCAAGUCAGCGGUAAAAAUGCGGUGCUCAACGCCGUACAGCCGUUGAAACUGGCAGUCUUGAGUGGGCGAGAAGUAUGCGGAAUGCGUGGUGUAGCGGUGAAAUGCAUAGAUAUCACGCAGAACUCCGAUUGCGAAGGCAGCAUACCGGCGCCCGACUGACGCUGAGGCACGAAAGCGUGGGUAUCGAACAGGAUUAGAUACCCCAGUAGUC